GGGGGUGUAGCUCAGCUGGUUAGAGCGUCUGCCUGUCACGCAGAAGGUCGCGGGUUCGAGUCCCGUCAUCCCCGCCA
rnacentral:tRNA from 1 species